rnacentral:pre_miRNA from 2 species
UUAAGUUUGUAAACGUUUUCGAUUUGGUCGUUCUACCACAUCAUCGUUUGGUUAAUAAAAUGACUAAAUCGAAAACUUUUACAAAUUUAAAGG